AUUGAACGCUGGCGGAAUGCUUUACACAUGCAAGUCGAACGGCAGCACGGGGGCAACCCUGGUGGCGAGUGGCGAACGGGUGAGUAAUACAUCGGAACGUGCCCAGUCGUGGGGGAUAACGCAGCGAAAGCUGUGCUAUUACCGCAUACGAUCUACGGAUGAAAGCGGGGGAUCGCAAGACCUCGCGCGAUUGGAGCGGCCGAUGGCAGAUUAGGUAGUUGGGGGGGUAAAGGCCUACCAAGCCAUCGAUCUGUAGCUGGUCUGAGAGGACGACCAGCCACACUGGGACUGAGACACGGCCCAGACUCCUACGGGAGGCAGCAGUGGGGAAUUUUGGACAAUGGGCGCAAGCCUGAUCCAGCCAUUCCGCGUGCAGGAUGAAGGCCUUCGGGUUGUAAACUGCUUUUGUACGGAACGAAAAGGCUCUCUCUAAUACAGGGGGCUCAUGACGGUACCGUAAGAAUAAGCACCGGCUAACUACGUGCCAGCCGCCGCCGUAA
rnacentral:rRNA from 1 species